GCCCGAAUAGCUCAGUGGUAGAGCGUCUGGCUGUUAACCAGAAAGUCGCAGGUUCGAUCCCUGCUUCGGGCG
rnacentral:tRNA from 1 species